GAGAGACCAGGCCAAGAGGGAGACGUUUUAUUUUACUUUUUAAAAAUUUAUUUCUUGUUGGCUGGAGAAGAUGGCGGACGAAUAGGCAGAUCUUUACGCACCUCCUCCGGGGGCCAGACUGGAAAUAGGACUGAACUGGGGAACAUGCACCCGCAGUUACCAACUGAGGUCCAGCUGAGGAGGAGGCAGACACAUCAAGGAAGGACAGAAAACACCCAGAGACCAGCAGGAAGGGCUGAUGCUACUUGGAGUGGAUCGAUUGCUCCUCCCAAGAAGAAUGGCGGCUGUGGUAUUGGUGGAUGCUCUAGCACCGGGUCCCGGUGGCCGAGCCUCCACACCUCUCCCCAAAGCCGGACACCCCAGACUCUCCGUGG